rnacentral:rRNA from 1 species
UACGGAGGGGGCUAGCGUUGUUCGGAAUUACUGGGCGUAAAGCGCACGUAGGCGGCUUUGUAAGUUAGAGGUGAAAGCCCGGGGCUCAACCCCGGAAUUGCCUUUAAGACUGCAUCGCUAGAAUCCAGGAGAGGUGAGUGGAAUUCCGAGUGUAGAGGUGAAAUUCGUAGAUAUUCGGAAGAACACCAGUGGCGAAGGCGGCUCACUGGACUGGUAUUGACGCUGAGGUGCGAAAGCGUGGGGAGCAAACAGG